UGGAGUAUGUGGUUAAUUCGAUGCAACGCGAAGAACCUUACCUGGUCUUGACAUCCCGGAGACCCUUAGGAAACUAGGGGGUGCUUCCAUCUGGAAGAAUCUGGAGACAGGUGCUGCAUGGCUGUCGUCAGCUCGUGUCGUGAGAUGUUGGGUUAAGUCCCGCAACGAGCGCAACCCUUGCCUUUAGUUGCCAGCAGUUCGGCUGGGCACUCUAAAGGGACUGCCGGUGUUAAACCGGAGGAAGGUGGGGAUGACGUCAAGUCCUCAUGGCCUUUAUGACCAGGGCUACACACGUACUACAAUGGCCGAUACAAAGGGCAGCGACACUGCGAGGUGAAGCCAAUCCCGUAAAAUCGGUCUCAGUCCGGAUUGGAGUCUGCAACUCGACUCCAUGAAGUUGGAUCGCUAGUAAUCGUGGAUCAGCAUGCCACGGUGAAUACGUUCCGGCCUU
rnacentral:rRNA from 1 species